rnacentral:tRNA from 1 species
GCCUGGGUGGCUCAGUCGGUUAAGCGUCUGACUUUGGUGCAGGUUAUGACCUCACGGUUCGAGGGUUCAAGCCCCACCUCGGGCU